AGUGGCGAACGGGUGAGUAACGCGUGAGUAUCUGCCCUUAGGAGGGGGACAACAGUUGGAAACGACUGCUAAUACCCCAUAUGUCUACGGAUGAAAGAUUUUAUCGCCUGAGGAUGAGUUCGCGUCUGAUUAGCUAGUUGGUGAGGUAAAGGCUCACCAAGGCGACGAUCAGUAGCUGGUCUGAGAGGAUGAUCAGCCACACUGGGACUGAGACACGGCCCAGACUCCUACGGGAGGCAGCAGUGGGGAAUUUUCCGCAAUGGGGGCAACCCUGACGGAGCAAUACCGCGUGCGGGAGGACGGCCUGUGGGUUGUAAACCGCUUUUCUCAGGGAAGAAGCUCUGACGGUACCUGAGGAAUCAGCCUCGGCUAACUCCGUGCCAGCAGCCGCGGUAAUACGGAGGAGGCAAGCGUUAUCCGGAAUUAUUGGGCGUAAAGCGUCCGCAGGUGGCGAUUCAAGUCUGCUGUCAAAGCACGGGGCUUAACUCCGUAAAGGCAGUGGAAACUGAAUAGCUAGAGUGCCGUAGGGGUAGAGGGAAUUCCCGGUGUAGCGGUGAAAUGCGUAGAGAUCGGGAAGAACAUCGGUGGCGAAAGCGCUCUACUGGACGGCAACUGACACUCAGGGACGAAAGCUAGGGGAGCGAAUGGGAUUAGAUACCCC
rnacentral:rRNA from 1 species